UACGGGGGGGGCAAGCGUUGUUCGGAAUUACUGGGCGUAAAGGGCUUGUAGGCGGCCAACUAAGUCCGACGUGAAAUCCCCAGGCUUAACCUGGGAACUGCGUCGGAUACUGGAUGGCUUGAAUUCGGGAGAGGGAUGCAGAAUUCCAGGUGUAGCGGUGAAAUGCGCAGAUAUCAGGAAGAACACCCGUGGCGAAAGCGGCUCUCUGGAACGGUACUGACGCUGAGACGCGAAAGCGUGGGGAGCGAACAGG
rnacentral:rRNA from 1 species